UUGAACGCUGGCGGCAGGCCUAACACAUGCAAGUCGAGCGGUAGCACAGAGAGCUUGCUCUCGGGUGACGAGCGGCGGACGGGUGAGUAAUGUCUGGGAAACUGCCUGAUGGAGGGGGAUAACUACUGGAAACGGUAGCUAAUACCGCAUAACGUCGCAAGACCAAAGUGGGGGACCUUCGGGCCUCAUGCCAUCAGAUGUGCCCAGAUGGGAUUAGCUAGUAGGUGGGGUAACGGCUCACCUAGGCGACGAUCCCUAGCUGGUCUGAGAGGAUGACCAGCCACACUGGAACUGAGACACGGUCCAGACUCCUACGGGAGGCAGCAGUGGGGAAUAUUGCACAAUGGGCGCAAGCCUGAUGCAGCCAUGCCGCGUGUGUGAAGAAGGCCUUCGGGUUGUAAAGCACUUUCAGCGGGGAGGAAGGCGGUGAGGUUAAUAACCUCAUCGAUUGACGUUACCCGCAGAAGAAGCACCGGCUAACUCCGUGCCAGCAGCCGCGGUAAUACGGAGGGUGCAAGCGUUAAUCGGAAUUACUGGGCGUAAAGCGCACGCAGGCGGUCUGUCAAGUCGGAUGUGAAAUCCCCGGGCUCAACCUGGGAACUGCAUUCGAAACUGGCAGGCUAGAGUCUUGUAGAGGGGGGUAGAAUUCCAGGUGUAGCGGUGAAAUGCGUAGAGAUCUGGAGGAAUACCGGUGGCGAAGGCGGCCCCCUGGACGAAGACUGACGCUCAGGUGCGAAAGCGUGGGGAGCAAACAGGAUUAGAUACCCUGGUAGUCCACGCCGUAAACGAUGUCGAUUUGGAGGUUGUGCCCUUGAGGCGUGGCUUCCGGAGCUAACGCGUUAAAUCGACCGCCUGGGGAGUACGGCCGCAAGGUUAAAACUCAAAUGAAUUGACGGGGGCCCGCACAAGCGGUGGAGCAUGUGGUUUAAUUCGAUGCAACGCGAAGAACCUUACCUGGUCUUGACAUCCACAGAACUUUCCAGAGAUGGAUUGGUGCCUUCGGGAACUGUGAGACAGGUGCUGCAUGGCUGUCGUCAGCUCGUGUUGUGAAAUGUUGGGUUAAGUCCCGCAACGAGCGCAACCCUUAUCCUUUGUUGCCAGCGGUUAGGCCGGGAACUCAAAGGAGACUGCCAGUGAUAAACUGGAGGAAGGUGGGGAUGACGUCAAGUCAUCAUGGCCCUUACGACCAGGGCUACACACGUGCUACAAUGGCAUAUACAAAGAGAAGCGACCUCGCGAGAGCAAGCGGACCUCAUAAAGUAUGUCGUAGUCCGGAUUGGAGUCUGCAACUCGACUCCAUGAAGUCGGAAUCGCUAGUAAUCGUAGAUCAGAAUGCUACGGUGAAUACGUUCCCGGGCCUUGUACACACCGCCCGUCACACCAUGGGAGUGGGUUGCAAAAGAAGUAGGUAGCUUAACCUUCGGGAGGGCGCUUACCACUUUGUGAUUCAUGACUGGGGUG
rnacentral:rRNA from 1 species